UGAAUGAAAAAUGUCUCUUUUCGAUUUACCUUAAAUACUGUAAAUUUGACACACACAAAAGGAAGCCCAAGAGGAGAUUUCCUGUGACGAAGCAAGCCAAAAAAAAGUCAACUUACACACUCACUACAUCCCACUAGAUGUAUGUAAUAAAUGCAUCUAUUUACAGGAUCCUCAGGUUCAAGAUUAAAACGGAUGGAAGAGUGAACAAAAAACAUUUCUUGCUUUCAUAUUCGUAAUCUGGUUUCCAUUCUGGUAUUCCCGUAAGCCUGAUGAGAUCGGAAAUGUGUGGAUUAGAAUGCUAAACCUGAAAGUAAAUGAUUAUCAGGAUGUACAAGAGUGUUAAGUCAUGGAGAUGAAACUGCUAUUCUGUUUCCUGAAAUCCUGAAAUUUCAUCUAUCAAAAGUGGACACCAGAUAUUUGUUAAAACACAACAUUUUCCUGCAGAUUGAUUAACUUAUUGUGGAUGGAAUGGAAAAAAAAUAUGUCUUUUUUUUCCAUUGUUUGGUUUGUGACCCUUUCUCAAUAACCAAAUUGAAUCAAGGCAACAUUAUUAA